rnacentral:rRNA from 1 species
CAGGCUUACACAUGCAAGUCGAGGGGCAGCAUGGUCUUAGCUUGCUAAGGCCGAUGGCGACCGGCGCACGGGUGAGUAACACGUAUCCAACCUGCCGUCUACUCUUGGACAGCCUUCUGAAAGGAAGAUUAAUACAAGAUGGCAUCAUGAGUCCGCAUGUUCACAUGAUUAAAGGUAUUCCGGUAGACGAUGGGGAUGCGUUCCAUUAGAUAGUAGGCGGGGUAACGGCCCACCUAGUCUUCGAUGGAUAGGGGUUCUGAGAGGAAGGUCCCCCACAUUGGAACUGAGACACGGUCCAAACUCCUACGGGAGGCAGCAGUGAGGAAUAUUGGUCAAUGGGCGAGAGCCUGAACCAGCCAAGUAGCGUGAAGGAUGACUGCCCUAUGGGUUGUAAACUUCUUUUAUAAAGGAAUAAAGUCGGGUAUGGAUACCCGUUUGCAUGUACUUUAUGAAUAAGGAUCGGCUAACUCCGUGCCAGCAGCCGCGGUAAUACGGAGGAUCCGAGCGUUAUCCGGAUUUAUUGGGUUUAAAGGGAGCGUAGAUGGAUGUUUAAGUCAGUUGUGAAAGUUUGCGGCUCAACCGUAAAAUUGCAGUUGAUACUGGAUAUCUUGAGUGCAGUUGAGGCAGGCGGAAUUCGUGGUGUAGCGGUGAAAUGCUUAGAUAUCACGAAGAACUCGCGAUGCGAAGGCAGCCUGCUAAGCUGCAACUGACAUUGAGGCUCGAAAGUGUGGGUAUCAAACAGGAUUAAU